GACGAACGCUGGCGGCGUGCCUAAUACAUGCAAGUAGAACGCACAGUUUAUACCGUAGCUUGCUACACCAUAGACUGUGAGUUGCGAACGGGUGAGUAACGCGUAGGUAACCUGCCUGGUAGCGGGGGAUAACUAUUGGAAACGAUAGCUAAUACCGCAUAAUAUUAAUUAUUGCAUGAUAAUUAAUUGAAAGGUGCAAUUGCACCACUACCAGAUGGACCUGCGUUGUAUUAGCUAGUAGGUGAGGUAACGGCUCACCUAGGCGACGAUACAUAGCCGACCUGAGAGGGUGAUCGGCCACACUGGGACUGAGACACGGCCCAGACUCCUACGGGAGGCAGCAGUAGGGAAUCUUCGGCAAUGGACGAAAGUCUGACCGAGCAACGCCGCGUGAGUGAAGAAGGGUGUCGGAUCGUAAAGCUCUGUUGUAAGAGAAGAACGGGGGUGAGAGUGGAAAGUUCACACUGUGACGGUAUCUUACCAGAAAGGGACGGCUAACUACGUG
rnacentral:rRNA from 1 species